AUUGAACGCUGGCGGCAGGCCUAACACAUGCAAGUCGAGCGGAUGAAGAGAGCUUGCUCUCUGAUUCAGCGGCGGACGGGUGAGUAAUGCCUAGGAAUCUGCCUGGUAGUGGGGGACAACAGUUGGAAACGACUGCUAAUACCGCAUACGUCCUACGGGAGAAAGCAGGGGACCUUCGGGCCUUGCGCUAUCAGAUGAGCCUAGGUCGGAUUAGCUUGUUGGUGAGGUAAAGGCUCACCAAGGCGACGAUCCGUAACUGGUCUGAGAGGAUGAUCAGUCACACUGGAACUGAGACACGGUCCAGACUCCUACGGGAGGCAGCAGUGGGGAAUAUUGGACAAUGGGCGAAAGCCUGAUCCAGCCAUGCCGCGUGUGUGAAGAAGGUCUUCGGAUUGUAAAGCACUUUAAGUUGGGAGGAAGGUCUGUAAGCUAAUAUCUUGCAGUCUUGACGUUACCAACAGAAUAAGCACCGGCUAACUCUGUGCCAGCCGCCGCGGUAAGAC
rnacentral:rRNA from 1 species